ACCUCACUGCUAUCGGGAUGAGACUAAGCUAUGCAAGUCAAGCGUUUUCGGGCCAAUGCGAGAACGCGGCAUACGGCUCAGUAACACGUGGCUAACUUACCCUUGGGACAAGGACAACCCCGGGAAACUGGGGCUAAUCCCUGAUAGGUGAAUAUGCCUGGAAUGGUUUUCCACUCAAAGGGGGUCGAAGUCAUGCUCUUCGAUCUUGCCCAAGGAUAGGGCCGCGUCCGAUCAGGUUGUUGGUGGGGUAAUGGCCCACCAAGCCGAUAACCGGUACGGGCCCUGAGAGGGGGAGCCCGGAGAUGGGAACUGAGACAAGGUCCCAGGCCCUACGGGGCGCAGCANNCGCGAAACCUCCGCAAUACGCGAAAGCGUGACGGGGUUAUCCCGAGUGCCGUCCGCUGAGGGCGGCUUUUACUUGGUGUAAGGAGCCGAGAGAAUAAGGGGAGGGCAAGACUGGUGUCAGCCGCCGCGGUAAUACCAGCUCCCCGAGCGGUGAGGAUGAUUAUUGNGCCUAAAGCGUCCGUAGCCGGUUUGGUAAGUCUCCCGUCAAAUCUACCGACUCAAUCGGUAGGCCGCGGGAAAUACUGCUAAACUAGGAGGCGGGAGAGGUCGGCGGUANUCCCGGGGUAGGGGUAAAAUCCUAUAAUCCUGGGAGGACCACCAGUGGCGAAGGCGGCCGACCAGAACGCGCUCGACGGUGAGGGACGAAAGCUGGGGGAGCGAACCGGAUUAGAUACCCGGGUAGUCCCAGCCGUAAACGAUGCGGGCUAGGUGUUGGUACGGCUACGUGCCGUUUCAGUGCCGCAGGGAAGCUGUUAAGCCCGCCGCCUGGGGAGUACGGCCGCAAGGCUGAAAUCUAGAGAGUUGAAAUGAUUCCGAUCGUUCGGUAUGCGAACUCUCUUGACAGCAGACUUAAAGGAAUUGGCGGGGGAGCACCACAAGGGGUGAAGCCUGCGGUUCAAUUGGAGUCAACGCCGGGAAUCUUACCGGGGGCGACAGCAGAAUGAAGGCCAGAUUGAAGGUCUUGCUGGACAAGCUGAGAGGAGGUGCAUGGCCGUCGCCAGUUCGUGCCGUGAGGUGUCCUGUUAAGUCAGGCAACGAGCGAGACCCCUGCCUUUAGUUGCCAGCGGAUCCCAUUGGGAUGCCGGGCACACUAAAGGGACCGCCGCCGAUAAGGCGGAGGAAGGAGGGGGCCACGGCAGGUCAGUAUGCCCCGAAUCCCCCGGGCCACACGCGGGCUGCAAUGGCGGAGACAAUGGGCUCCGACCCCGAAAGGGGGAGGCAAUCCCGAAACUCCGUCUCAGUUGGGAUUGAGGACUGCAACCCGUCCUCGUGAACAUGGAAUCCCUAGUAAUCGCGUGUCAUCAUCGCGCGGUGAAUACGUCCCCGCUCCUUGCACACACCGCCCGUCGCUCCACCCAAGUCGGGUUUGGGUGAGACGCAGUCUAAGUGGCUGCCUCGAACCUAAGUUCGGUGAGGAGGGAGAAGU
rnacentral:rRNA from 1 species